UGCAGUCGAACGGUAACAGGAAGCAGCUUGCUGCUUUGCUGACGAGUGGCGGACGGGUGAGUAAUGUCUGGGAAACUGCCUGAUGGAGGGGGAUAACUACUGGAAACGGUAGCUAAUACCGCAUAACGUCGCAAGACCAAAGAGGGGGACCUUCGGGCCUCUUGCCAUCGGAUGUGCCCAGAUGGGAUUAGCUAGUAGGUGGGGUAAAGGCUCACCUAGGCGACGAUCCCUAGCUGGUCUGAGAGGAUGACCAGCCACACUGGAACUGAGACACGGUCCAGACUCCUACGGGAGGCAGCAGUGGGGAAUAUUGCACAAUGGGCGCAAGCCUGAUGCAGCCAUGCCGCGUGUAUGAAGAAGGCCUUCGGGUUGUAAAGUACUUUCAGCGGGGAGGAAGGGAGUAAAGUUAAUACCUUUGCUCAUUGACGUUACCCGCAGAAGAAGCACCGGCUAACUCCGUGCCAGCAGCCGCGGUAAUACGGAGGGUGCAAGCGUUAAUCGGAAUUACUGGGCGUAAAGCGCACGCAGGCGGUUUGUUAAGUCAGAUGUGAAAUCCCCGGGCUCAACCUGGGAACUGCAUCUGAUACUGGCAAGCUUGAGUCUCGUAGAGGGGGGUAGAAUUCCAGGUGUAGCGGUGAAAUGCGUAGAGAUCUGGAGGAAUACCGGUGGCGAAGGCGGCCCCCUGGACGAAGACUGACGCUCAGGUGCGAAAGCGUGGGGAGCAAACAGGAUUAGAUACCCUGGUAGUCCACGCCGUAAACGAUGUCGACUUGGAGGUUGUGCCCUUGAGGCGUGGCUUCCGGAGCUAACGCGUUAAGUCGACCGCCUGGGGAGUACGGCCGCAAGGUUAAAACUCAAAUGAAUUGACGGGGGCCCGCACAAGCGGUGGAGCAUGUGGUUUAAUUCGAUGCAACGCGAAGAACCUUACCUGGUCUUGACAUCCACGGAAGUUUUCAGAGAUGAGAAUGUGCCUUCGGGAACCGUGAGACAGGUGCUGCAUGGCUGUCGUCAGCUCGUGUUGUGAAAUGUUGGGUUAAGUCCCGCAACGAGCGCAACCCUUAUCCUUUGUUGCCAGCGGUCCGGCCGGGAACUCAAAGGAGACUGCCAGUGAUAA
rnacentral:rRNA from 1 species